AAAAAGUUUUAUUUUAGCUUAAAAUAUCAAUGUAUAAUUUAUUUUAUAUGUAAGUUUUAGCGGGAAUUUUAAAAAAUUUUAAAAAUUUUUUAUUUUAUAAAUUUAUUCGCAGUUUAAAAUAUUUAAUAUUUAAGAAAUUAAGAUUAAAAAAUUUAUUUUAAUAUUAACAAAAUUUGUGCCAGCAGUUGCGGUUAUACAGAUAAUAUAAUUGAUAUAUAUUAAUUAAUAAUUAAUUGAUUUAUUUAUAAUUAAAAAUUAAUUUUAUUAAGUGAAAUUUUAAAUUUAUUUAAAAUUAUAAAAAAUAAAUUGAAGUUAUUAAAUUUUUAAAUAAACUAGGAUUAGAUACCCUAUUAUUUUAAAUGUAAAUUUAAAUAUAUUAAAUUAGUAUUAGCUAUGUUCUUAAAAAUUAAAAAAUUUGGCGGUAUUUUAGUCUUUUCAGAGGAACCUGUUCUGUAAUCGAUAAUCCACGAUUAGUUUUACUUUUAUUAAUAAAUUUAUAUAUCGUCGUAGUUUGAAUAUUUUAGGAGAAUUUUAAAUAUUCAAUAUAUUAAAUUAAAUAUUAAAUCAGAUCAAGGUAUAGUUUAUAUAAAAGAAGAAAUGGGUUACAAUAAAUUUAUUUAUAUGGAUUUAAUAUUUAAAUAUAUUAAUGAAAUUGGAUUUGAAAGUAAUAUAAUUUAUUUAAAUUAUAUGAUUUAAGCUCUAAAAUAUGCACAUAUCGCCCGUCGCUCUCAUAUAAAGUGAGAUAAGUCGUAACAAAGUAGAUGUACUGGAAAGUGUAUCUAGAAUGAU
rnacentral:ncRNA from 1 species